UUGGCAGGGGUGGUGUGGAGUGUUGACAGUCCGAUUGUGCCGGUCUCGCUGGAUUUCAUAUUUUUAUUGAACACCGUGCUGCACAAAGGGAUUAAAGAGUGUCACUCUCACAGCACAGCUAAGAACACGGACAACAGGCAUGUCUGUGAGGAGUGAGGGCUCACUGUGAGCUCAAGAUGGGGGCCUCUGAUACAAAACGAUUUGUGGUUAGAACAGGAAUUUCAGGGUUCUUGUGGCCUGGGGUCUGUGGGGGCAGCAGUUACCUGCCAGGCUGGGGGACGUGGCAGAAAAGGUCCUUGCCUUGAGGAAGUUCGAGUCUAGCAGAGGAGAAAAUCAAGAAACAACGCCAAAUGCAUUAUGUCUGAGUGGAAGGUCCUCUGGGAAGCACCCAGGGCACAGGAACACAGUGUCUACUUCUCACCAAAGGAGCCCUCUCCUAUAUCCAGGCUGCAGCUCUCUUACAGCGCAUGCAGAGUCCCCCAGAGGAUGAAGGAGAAGCAAACCUCUUCUGCCCUCGCCUGCCAAAGAAAUCAAUCACACAGCCCCAGAGAGCGCAGCAUCUUAUACCAUUGUGCACUCCUGAGCAUAGAAAGCACAGCUUCCCUGCAUGGAGUAAGCAGGGUCUGUGUUUUCCUCCUACCUCCUGUAGGGUACAUCUGGCCCACAGCUCCCCCAUACUGUUUGUAAAACUUGCAUUAGGCACGUACACUAUGUUUUGAAUGGUGAAGGGCAUGGCCAACAAUAAUCUUGGGACUGGCUCUGUUCUGCUCAUCUAGAGGGCAGGGUUCGUAUGUGAAGCUCCCCUUCACCCAGUCUGCUCUGCUCUUUGUCUCUUAGGAAGCCAAGAUCAUUGCCUUUUAACCUUUGCUCUCAACACACACAUUCCUGGAAUCUCUUCCAAGUUCUUUCUAAAUUCUACCACCUCUUUUUUUGUUGCUAUUAUUAU